rnacentral:rRNA from 1 species
UACGUAGGGGGCGAGCGUUAUCCGGAUUUACUGGGUGUAAAGGGAGCGUAGACGGCUGGUCAAGUCUGAAGUAAAAGCCCGGGGCUUAACCCCGGAACGGCUUUGGAAACUGAGCAGCUAGAGUGCUGGAGAGGUAAGCGGAAUUCCUAGUGUAGCGGUGAAAUGCGUAGAUAUUAGGAGGAACACCAGUGGCGAAGGCGGCUUACUGGACUGUAACUGACGUUGAGGCUCGAAGGCGUGGGGAGCAAACAGG